UACGGAGGUCUCAAGCGUUGUUCGGAUUCAUUGGGCGUAAAGGGUGCGCCAGCGGCGUGGUAAGUUGAGUGUGAAAUCCCGGGGCUCAACCCCGGAACUGCACUCAAUACUGCCAUGCUCGAGGACUGUAGAGGAGAAUGGAAUUCAUGGUGUAGCAGUGAAAUGCGUAGAUAUCAUGAGGAAGACCAGUUGCGAAGGCGAUUCUCUGGGCAGUUCCUGACGCUCAUGCACGAAGGCCAGGGGAGCAAACGGG
rnacentral:rRNA from 1 species